UGGGGAAUAUUGGACAAUGGGCGCAAGCCUGAUCCAGCCAUGCCGCGUGUGUGAAGAAGGCCUUCGGGUUGUAAAGCACUUUUGUCCGGAAAGAAAAGCUUCGGGUUAAUAACCAGGAGUCAUGACGGUACCGGAAGAAUAAGCACCGGCUAACUUCGUGCCAGCAGCCGCGGUAAUACGAAGGGUGCAAGCGUUACUCGGAAUUACUGGGCGUAAAGCGUGCGUAGGUGGUUUGUUAAGUCUGAUGUGAAAGCCCUGGGCUCAACCUGGGAACGGCAUUGGAUACUGGCUUACUAGAGUGCGGUAGAGGGUAGUGGAAUUCCCGAUGUAGCAGUGAAAUGCGUAGAUAUCGGGAGGAACAUCUGUGGCGAAGGCGACUACCUGGACCAGCACUGACACUGAGGCACGAAAGCGUGGGGAGCAAACAGGAUUAGAUACCCUGGUAGUCCACGCCCUAAACGAUGCGAACUGGAUGUUGGGU
rnacentral:rRNA from 1 species